rnacentral:rRNA from 1 species
AAAAGUAAUUUCUGCCCAAUGAUUAUUUAAAUGGCUGCAGUAUUUUGACUGUACAAAGGUAGCAUAAUAAUUAGUCUUUUAAUUGAGGACUAGAAUGAAAGGAUAUAUGAGAAAUAUAUUUUAUUAUUUUAACUGUUAAAAUUUUAUUUUUGAGUAAGAAAGCUUAAUUUUUUUUUAGGGACGAAAAGACCCUGUAGAACUUUAUUAUGAUUAAUUUAUUAAAAUUUAAGUUUAUAAUUUUGUAUUAUUUUUAUUAUAUUUUGGUUGGGGGGACAUUUAAAUAUUUAACUUUAUUUUUUAUAUUCAUUAAUUUAUGAUUAUUUUGAUCCUUAGUUUAAGAUUUAAAGAUUAAGUUACCUCAGGGAUAACAGCGUAAUUUUAUUGGAGAGAUCAUAUCUAUAGUGAAGUUUGCGACCUCGAUGUUGAAUUAAGAAAAGUUUAAGGGGUAGUUUCUUUAAUAUCUAAGUCUGU